UGCCUUAUUUUCACAUCAGUCAUCCAACUUCAAAAUAUAUCAAAGUGGUCACUCAAGUUACAAAAACAUUCUCCUGUUAGUCACCCGAGACUUUCCGACGCCCAAAAGCCUACGUGGCCACAGUAAAGGUUGAGUCAACAGCUGAUGCCCGCAUCAUCAAUCUUACUUGGCUUGUCUAAGUUAGAUUAAGUAGCUGACUAGGCCAAAUAAUUGACACCUCAGCCUUUUCUUCUUCUUCUUCUUCUCUGGUUCCUCGUCUCUGCCCUCUUCUUCUUAUCACCAUUGUUUUGGAGACUUAUGAGCUAGUGAUCAAAGUUUUAGUUUUAACUGUUUAAACCGGUGAUUGGGAGAAGUGAAGCGUUGCUUUCAUCUGUCAAAGAAAACAACAAACAUUUAGUGGUGCACAAUGUCAAUCAAUUGGGAGAUUCGACAAGCAGGGGAGGAGCCGCCGGAGUAUUGUAAGGAAACCCCAGCUUUGCUUCUAGUUUUUUUUCUUAUUUGGUUUUGUAGCAUUGUAGUUCACCAUAGAUCAGGAGUUAGGGUUUGUAGUUUGGUUGAGGGUUUUCACUUUUACUGUGGAUGCUGCACCAAAUGUGGGUUUUUAUGAAUUGUUCAAUGUUGUUGACAUGUUAAAUUAGGAGUUGCUGUCAAAGAGAACACAACUCAGAUAUAAUAUGUGCAAUAUGGGUCUCAUGUGUAAUAUAAUAUGUGUCCUUCUUGUGGUCUCAGGUUGACUAGAACUUGAAAAAGAUGCAAAAACUUUGAAUAUCUUGUAUAUUCUAUGGUUUUGUCUAUAUAUAUACAUAGAUAAUCACAAACUUUGCUUUCUUUGUUACUUCAUCAAAUGAUCAAUGCCAUAUGUUUAUAUGCUAUUGGUUAUCUCAUCUUUGCCAUAUUCGAUAUUUUAUUAUACAAAUGUUUAAUCCAAAAUUUUAAAUUUUUGUCUUACGUUUAACCUGAUUACAAUCAAUAUGGUAUUUAAGAUGUUCCCUUGGCAUGAUGUAACAGUGAAAGAACAAUGUGAAAUUUUGGCUCAUUUCAUUAGUUUCUCAAAUUGAUAAAUGAUGACGUGAUGACCUUAUAUCCUGGAUAAUAUUGUCCAAGUUGAUUUUAUAUGUUCCAUCUCAUGUUGAGCCUUGUUAUAGACAAUGGUAUUUAGGAUGACUUUGUCCACAACUUGAAACUCUUGUAUUUUAUAUUUUAUAAAUUUAGCCAGAAGAUUGAUAUUAAAUUCUUCAAUUUGUGACAACCAGUUUGUUCAAAAUGUCUAAAAAGCCUUACAAUUUCUGGUCAUUUCUGGAUAGAUCUCAGUCUUCAUUUACUUCAAAUUCACCGCAUAAGGUUCUUAAUAUCAAAGAUGCAUUGUGCCAAUAGUAAAAGAGGCCCAUUGAAGCAUGGCUUUGUAGAUUAUGCUUAAUUAUUAGGAAGUUGUUUACCAUUUCCAUUGUGCACACAAUUUCAUUAUGCAAAAGCCCAUAAAGGAUCACAAAACAAACCUUUCAUGAAGUAAUGUCCUACAUUUAUUGAAUGAGCUUUUCUCCUUAGGAAGAAAAAUUCAUUCAAUCUUCACACAAUCUUCAUUUGACACCAACUGGCCAAUGAUUAGUGGUUAUAACAAAUUUUCAUUAUCUUUGUUCAAUACUAAUCUUGCAAAAAAAACCAUUUCUGAAAUCCUAGAAUGUAUACAGUGAGAUGUAAAAGUGUUUAUAUAGAAAUCCUUAAAGAUAUAUUGCAUUCACCUUCUUAUUCUUGCUUGGCUUUCUUUUUUUCUAUUCAUGAUUGUUCCAAUGCGGAUAAAUUUCCAAAGAUAAAUCUAUAAAUGUUUGUAUUGUAUUGGAAUAUAUAAGUGCAGCAUUAUUUUAAACAUAUUUGUAUUGUAGUGUAAUAUAUAAGUGCACCAUUAAUUUUUUGCAAUAGGUUCCUUUUUUUUUUGAUGAUGUGUUCAACUGCAAUGUCAGAACCUUAAGAUAUAUGGUAGUUAGUUUUAGGUGUUUGUGUUCAUAACUUGUUACUAUAGCCCUUAUAGUUAGGACUAAACAAUAACUAUAAAAGUUGUGUGUUUUAUUUCAGUACUAACAACAGAGCUGUUUACCAUUAAGAUGCAUUACAGAAUAGGUGGUGUAGAAGAGCUGGUUGGCUUAGUGGAUUACUGGAGUGUAGAUCAAAUUUCAAAAAUAGAAUUGCUGCCAAUGGGUAGGAGUCUUAUGUUAGAUCUAAAAUGUUGCACUUGGAUAUAAGCCAUGGGGCCAAGGAAUUAAGAGAAAUUAAAAAUGACCAAGAUGCACUGAAUAUGGCCAUGGUAGUAGAUUCCGGUAAGGAGGUUUGUGUGUUCUUUAGGAGUGGACAUUGUGUUAGUGAUCAAGGUGGCUCUAGUAAAUUCAGUGCAAAGGACAGUAUAGUAAUAGAGGCUAUUGAUGAUAAAACAAACAAUUUGGAGGAAGAGAAAUUAGAGAAAGCAAAAGAUGUAGAAGAAGAAGAUCUGGAAGAUACAAUUAUUGGAAUGGAUGGUAGAAGAAAAAAUGAUGGAGAAGAUAGUGAUAUGCAUGAUUCUGAUUACAAUUUCAGUGAUGAGUUAGAAGAAGAUCCUGUUGAGAAGAUUGAAACAGUAAGGGAUAUUGUUGUUGUGGAAAAAGAACCUUAAGAAAACACUGGUGGGGUGCAUAUUAAGUCAGACUAUGCUGAUUCUGAUAACCUGGAUUCCUGCUUAGUAACAGAUGAAGACGAUUUAGUAUCAAGAAAGCGUAAAUACACAGAGUUCAAUGAAGAAUGUGACAUGAAAAAUCCUCAAUUCAAGAUUGGAAUGAAAUUUAGGAGCUUUAAACAAUUCAAAGAUGUUGUUAAGAACUAUUGGAUAAAGAAUAGAUAUGUAAUGCCAUUUAAGCCCAAUUCCUAGAAAAGUUGUAAAGCAAUAUGUAAGAGGGGUUGUCCAUUUUAUUUAUGGGCAUCACCAAUGGUGAAGCAUGGGAGUACAAUCCAAAUAAAAUCAGGGAAAUUGGAACAUGAGUAUUCAAGGGAUCAUCAUAAUAGGCAUGUGAAUGCAGUAUGGAUUGAGAGAAGUUACUUGGAGCAAUUCAAAGCUGAUUCUGCAUGGAAGAUCUUUGGCAUCAUCCAGGCUGUCAAAACUAAUCAAGACAUGAUCGGUAGAUUAGUGGCUUACAGGGCAAAGUGUAUAGCACUCAAGUAAAUAACACACCCUAUAUGAAAUAUUUUCAAUUUAAUCAGAUAGUUUUCAUAGAGUUAUGUACUUAUGUAUAUUUAAUUUGUCAUGAUUUUGAACUUGGCUGAUAGAUGGUGAUGAGGAGACACAAAUGAAGAGUCUAUAUGAUUAUAGAUUGGAAUUGAUGAGGACACAUCUUGGAUCAUCCGUGAUUUUUAGAUGUGAUCAAGGUAAAUUUCAAUGCAUGUAUGUCUGCUUAGCUCACUUGAGGGAGGGUUUUUUGGUAGGUUGCAGGUAGAUUAUAUCAGUGGAUGGGUGGUUUCUUAAAGGACUAUAUGGUGGACAACUUCUGUCUGCAGUGGGGAUAGAUGCUAAUGAUUGCAUCUAUCCUGUUGCUUGGGCCAUAGUUGGUAAGGAGAACAAAGACAACUGGAAGUAGUUCUUGGAGCUAUUGGCAGAAGAUUUUAGAAUAACAAAUAGAUUCCACUGGGCAUUCAUGAGCAAUAGGUAAAAGGUAAAUGGCUGACCUAGGUUCAAUUAAAUUUUUUUUAUGUUUUUUAUAAUUAAUUUCAGACUAAAUGGUUGACCUUUUAUGAUUAAUCAAGAUGAGUAGUAUGAUGCUAGAGUUGGAUAGCAUAUAUAAUAUAUGCAAGAAGUUUCCUAUCCAAUUUAAUUUUACUGCUUGAUGUCUUCAAAGAAUUCCAUGUCAAUUAUUUUAGUGUGAUUUUUCUCUUGUAUGGCAAGAAGUUUCCUGUCCAAUUUAAUUUCAGUGUUUGAUGUCUUCAAAGAAUUCCAUGUCAAUUAUUUCAGUGUAAUUUCUCUUGUAUGACAAGAAGUUUCCUGUCCAGUUUAAUUUUAGUGCUUGAUGUCUUCAAAGAAUUCCAUGUCAAUUAUUUUAGUGUGGUUUUUGACUUAUAUGGCAAGAAGUUUCCUACCCAAUUUAUAUGAUAUAGUACAUGAUUUAUUAUGCUGUUAGGGUUGGAUAACAACUAAUUAAUUUUAGUGAUUCAUUUUGCUGCUAGGAUUAGAUAGCAGAAAAUUAAUUUCAGUAUGAUUUUUCUCUAUGAUAGCAAGAAGUUACUUGCUUAAUUUAUUACAAAUUUAUAUGGUUUCAAUACAUGAUUCAUUUUGUUGUUAGGGUUGGAUCACAAACAAUUAAAUUCAAUGAUUCAAUUGUUAGUGAUUCAUCCAGAUUUUUAUGUAUAUAUUUUUCCCUUCCUCACCCCAUUUGCCUAUGGUGGUUGAUAUGUGUGUAGAUUAAACAAAACCUUAGAGUUUAAUACCUGCAAUUGAAGAGCUAUUCCCCAAUAAUGAACACAGAUAUUGUGUGAAGCACAUCCACACUAAUUUCGAAAAAAACUUAUAGAGGAAAAGCCUUAAAGGACCAGCUGUAGAAUUGUGCCAAAGCAACCAACAUCCCUUCAUAUGAGAAACCCAUGGAACAAUUAAAAGAUAUGUCUCUAGGUGCUUUUGAAUACUUGAAAAAAAAUAUACCCCCAUCAUUGGAGUAGGUCUUAUUUCCAAACCAAAUACAAGUGUGACAUACUACCUAAUAAUAUGUGUGAAUGCUUUAACAGCUAAAUUCUCGAAGCUAGGUUUAAAGGCAUAGUCACAAUGAAUGAGAUCAUAAGGACCACAUUAAUGGUUAGGAUCUAAAAAAAAGAGAUUAUAUGAAGAGAUGCCAAACAGUCCAUUGCCCUAAAGUACUGAAAAAACUAGAAAAAAUGAAGUAACUCAGUUGGUCUUAUAACACCAUUUGGUAUGGGGGAGCCAAUAUCAGGUUGUUAGGCCUGAUGGUCAAUUUGUGGUUGCUAAGGAUGGGGCUAGUUGUUCAUGCAUGAAGUGGGAACUUUCAGGGAUUCCUUGCUAUCAUGCCAUCUUAGUCAUCUAUUACAAUCGAGACAAACCAUAAAAUUAUAUACAUAACUGCUAUAAAGUCAGAACAUUCUUAGAUACAUAUAGGCACACAUUGAAUCCCACGCAGGACAGACAAUGUUGGUCAAAGAGUGAUCAAGGUCCAAUGGUACCACCUGACGUAGUCCUUAGGAAGAGAGGUUGGAAGACUAUGCUACUAAGAAGGGAGCCAGAUGAGGAGACUAGUGGCUUCACAGAUGGAAGAGUCACCAAAAAAGGAGUUUCCAUGAAGUGUAAUGUUUGUGGUGCUAAAAGGCACAAUAAAAGGCAUCACAAGGGAGGCAAUGUUAAUGAUGGACACACAGGUGAGCAUGAACAUAUCAUGAAUCAGUUGAAGUAACAGAUCUUAUGACUACAAUUGAUUCCUAGGUUUUACAAGCACAUUUCCAAAUGGUGAGUGAAGUUCAGUGUUGUUAAAUUACUCUAUAUUGUGGCUCACAUAUACUCGUGUUUUUAUUAAUGUCAAUUAAAUGAUUCAACAACAAUUUAAUUGGAGCCAACCAACAAGAAGGAGAUGUUACAAGUGGCAAAAUGCUGGAGAACCAGUGUCACAGUUGUAGCAAAUUGCAAAGGAUCCAUCAAAUAAGAAUUUUGCAGGAAGUACUGUCAGACAUCCUCCACUGAAGCAUCAAGGUAGACAUAAGGACAAUGACGACAUGGCCAAAGAAGGAGAUCUCAGCAAAAAGAAGAGGAAUUGGGUUCCCCCAGGAGCUUCCAUUGGUGGAGUUAGGAAACAGAGCAGGAAGUGAAAACCAAAAGCCUACAAACUUGAAGAUUUUGUAUGUUGUGAUGUUUGGCUGAAGAUCUUCAUAAACCAAACAUUUAUAUUUUGCUCUGUCAUAUGCAAUUUUGUAUUGUGUUGUUGAAGAUCUUCAUAAGCCAAGCAUGUAAAUCAUGUUUUGUAAUUUUUUUGAAUUUGGCUGACAAUCUUCAUGUAAAUGAGUUA